GGGCCGCAGCUUGGGGCGCGCCAAGUGCCGCGCGUACCGCGGCGGUGGGGAUGGCGGCCGGGGCGGAGAGGCCGGACCCUGGCGCGGGGCGCUCGUGGGAAGGGGCGCCGCACGAGUGAAGAGGGAGCCUCCUUUUCAGAGCAGGCCGAGCCCCGCUGGGCGAGGAGCGCCGGUGCCGCCGCGGCAGAGCGGGGUUAGCUGGGAGCGAUGGGCGACUGGAGCUUCUUGGGGCGGCUGCUGGAGAACGCGCAGGAGCACUCCACAGUCAUCGGCAAGGUGUGGCUGACCGUGCUGUUCAUCUUCCGAAUCCUGGUGCUGGGGGCAGCGGCCGAGGAGGUGUGGGGCGACGAGCAGUCAGACUUCACCUGCAACACGCAGCAGCCCGGCUGUGAGAACGUCUGCUACGACCGUGCCUUCCCCAUCUCGCACAUCCGCUUCUGGGCGCUGCAGAUCAUCUUCGUGUCCACGCCCACCCUCAUCUACCUGGGCCACGUGCUGCACAUCGUGCGCAUGGAGGAGAAGAAGAGGGAGCGGGAGGAGGAGCUGCUGAGGAGAGACAACCCUCAGCACGGCCGUGGCCGCGAGCCGAUGCGUACAGCGAGUCCGCGGGACCCGCCACUGCGUGAUGACCGCGGUAAGGUGCGCAUUGCCGGCGCGCUGCUGCGGACCUACGUCUUCAACAUCAUCUUCAAGACGCUCUUCGAGGUGGGCUUCAUCGCGGGCCAGUACUUUCUAUAUGGCUUCCAGCUGCAGCCACUUUACCGCUGUGACCGCUGGCCCUGCCCCAACACGGUAGACUGCUUCAUCUCUAGGCCCACGGAGAAGACCAUCUUCGUCAUCUUCAUGCUUGCUGUGGCCUGUGCGUCACUGGUGCUCAACAUGCUGGAGAUUUACCACCUGGGCUGGAAGAAGCUCAAGCAGGGGGUUACCAACCACUUCAGCCCAGAUGCCUCAGAAACCAAACACAAGCCCUUGGAACCCCAACCUCAGGCCUCCAGCUCUGAUCCGCCCAGCGCCUCCAUUGGGCUCCCACCUUACUACACACACCCCGCCUGUCCCCCAAUACAAGCCAGGGCCACAGGGUUCCCUGGGGGCCCACCACCACCACCGGCAGACUUCACAGUGGUAACCCUGAAUGAUGCACAAGGCAGAGACCCCCCUGUCAAGCACUGUAAUGGCCACCAUCUAGUCACAGAGCAGAACUGGACCAGCCGAGUGCCGGAGCGGCAGACUCCAGCCAGCAAGGCCUCUUCGGCAGCGUCCAGCCCUGAGGGUCGGAAGGGGCUCACGGACAGCAGUGGCAGCAGCUUAGAGGAGAGUGCCUUGGUGGUGACGCCAGAGGAGGGAGAGCAGGCCUUGGCCACCACAGUGGAGAUGCAUUCCCCACCCUUGGCCCUCCUGGACCCAGGAAGGUCCAGCAAGGCCAGCAUCGGGCGGGCCAGACCUGGUGACUUGGCCAUCUAGCCAUAGUCUCUCCAGACAGCCUUAUAAACCUUCCCUUCCCUCCUUAGAAACAAACAACAGCAACAAAACCAAAAUGCAUUUCAAAUCAGCAGGUAGAGAGAGAGAAACCCUGACAGCGCUGGAGUCCCCGGAAACACCGAACAAACCCAGUCAGGUGUCUGUUUUAAUGCUUGCUGUUCCUGUCGCUGUGGGAUAGAGUGGGUCUGACACCAGCGUGUCUGAGAUUGAGAGGGGGCGGGGUCGUUGGCUCUUAAAGAUGCUCCCAGCAGCGGUUGCUCUCGGACUCCUCCAUCUGCAGUUACUGUUCUGCCGUGAUAAAGCAACAGGUGUUUGCAGCCCCUUCAGGGGGAGACAAUUGGGUUUCCAUUCCUAAGCUCUCCAAACAGCCCAGAGAGUCGCAGAGGCACUUAGCUCUAUCUCGGUUUGAUACUUUUAACUUAGAGUUGAAUUUCAUUUGGGAUAUUUGCCAAACUGUACUAAAAAAAGAUUUAGAGGGACUCUAUCUAGUGCCAUUUGAGUUUCUGGAAUUGCCUGUGAGGUCCAGGCUAUCCAACUGCAGGCUGCACAGCAAAUCGACAAAGAGCAGCUGCCCUCCAGAGGGCGGUUCUGGGGGGCAGGACCACAGCCAUUACUGGUAGAGGCAGGUGGAGAUGCAGAGACCCUGGAAAGCCCUCAGCAGAUGAGGAAAAUGACCACAGUGUGGCAGAGUGACUUCCCGAGUGAGGAAAUGGAACAGGUAACACGACAGCACUGGAUUGUGUCCACAUCCCCUUUCCUGGGACCUAUGAAUGUUAUCUCACUGCCAAAGAGACUUCCUAGAUCUGUCUAAAUUAAGGCUCCUGAAUGGGCACAUGAUCUGGGCUCUAAAGGUGGAAGACAUAUGAUCUCAAGGGUCCUCAGAAGAGAAGAGAAAGCCAUGUGACUGGGGAAGCAGAAAUGAGAGCGAUGCAUGAAUGUACAGUGCAUGCUACGUAUGUAUGUGCAUGCACAUCCACACAUCCACAAAGAAGAAAGAAAUUGAAGUGAUGGAUUUGGAAGACGGAGGAAGGCCGAGAGCCAAGGAGGGCAAGUAGCCACUGGAAGCACAGAGCCCAGCAGAGCUGACACCUUGAUUGGAGCCCGGUGCUGAUGUUGGAUUUCUGGCUUGCAGAAUGGUUAGGAUGAGAGAUUUCUACACUAAUCUCAUUGCGGUUUGUUGCAGGAACCACAGGGAAACCAACCCAAAUGACUUACUAGACCUCACUCCAAACUAGCCUGGAUCUUUCUACAUAGCCCUCCUGUUGACACCUGCUGAUAUGCUGGCUCGUUCAAGUAGUCCUGGAACUUGGGAAGCUGAGGCAAGAAGAUGCUGUGAGUCUGAGGCCAGUCAGUGCUACAUAAUUUCAGGACAGUCUGGAAAUGGUACCCCCACCCCAAGGAAGAACUUCUUCAUAUCCUACCACCUCUAUCCUGGCUGUCAUAUCCAGGAGAGAGAUGAGUCACCUUCACCGAUUUGUUUUGAAGGACACAGCUCGGGCAUAACCAGAGAGCAAAAAGAUGCCGAGGGCUAGGUGGGUGAUGUCACACCACCUCCCAGUACCAUGGAGCCUAGUACAGCUAAAAUGAUCUAAUUAGGAACAUGUCUAAAAGGGUUGUCAUUAUCGACAAUGUUUUGAUGACACCAGCCCUUUUUUUUUUUUUUUUUUUAAGCUUUGCAUUCUAUAAGUCACAUCCUGGAGGACCACAAAACAAAGGAAACAAUAAAUAUUUAAUACUCUGGGUUUCCUAUUAAUUUUUUCAGGCAGUUAAGUUUCUGGUUGAGC